rnacentral:misc_RNA from 1 species
AACAAGGCGUACCUGCGGACCUGCGGAAGGAUCAUUACUAGUGACCCCGGUUUACCACCGGGAUGUUCAUAACCCUUUGUUGUCCGACUCUGUUGCCUCCGGGGCGACCCUGCCUUCGGGCGGGGGCUCCGGGUGGACACUUCAAACUCUUGCGUAACUUUGCAGUCUGAGUAAACUUAAUUAAUAAAUUAAAACUUUCAACAAUGGAUCU